AUAGAUACCCAGGUAGUCCACGCCGUAAACGAUGAGUGCUAAGUGUUAGGGGGUUUCCGCCCCUUAGUGCUGCAGCUAACGCAUUAAGCACUCCGCCUGGGGAGUACGGUCGCAAGACUGAAACUCAAAGGAAUUGACGGGGGCCCGCACAAGCGGUGGAGCAUGUGGUUUAAUUCGAAGCAACGCGAAGAACCUUACCAGGUCUUGACAUCCCAUUGGCCACUAUGGAGACAUAGUUUUCCCUUCGGGGACAACGGUGACAGGUGGUGCAUGGUUGUCGUCAGCUCGUGUCGUGAGAUGUUGGGUUAAGUCCCGCAACGAGCGCAACCCUUGUUCUUGGUUGCCAUCAUUUAGUUGGGCACUCUAAGGAGACUGCCGGUGACAAACCGGAGGAAGGUGGGGAUGACGUCAAAUCAUCAUGCCCCUUAUGACCUGGGCUACACACGUGCUACAAUGGACGGUACAAACGGUUGCCAACCCGCGAGGGGGAGCUAAUCCGAUAAAACCGUUCUCAGUUCGGAUUGUAGGCUGCAACUCGCCUACA
rnacentral:rRNA from 1 species